CAGCGUUCAGAUCAGGCAGUGCAGUCCCCUCUGGUGACUGAAUCCUUCCUCGGUGGCGGCAUCAAGGGCUCCUCCCUGCCCUGCUUGCGUUCCUCCGAUGUCAGGAAACUCACUUCUCCCUGAGGCAGCCUGUUCCCUCCUUGGAUCACUCACCUUUAUCUCUGGGAUGGAGAAACAUUCGUGCAGACGCUUUGAGGAGGGAGCCCAGCCUCCAGAGCAGAGGAUGCCUAUGUCCCCCGCCCCUCCCCUUACAGGACACCUGCUUUUAAUCCACGUCCUCACCACUAAGGUCAUGUUUCUAAGAUCACUCCGGCGAGGAGAGGCAAGACUGCAACAUAAAAAUAACUCCCACAUCAUGCUUUUUUCCAGGUCGAAAAGGAACGCACGCACGAUCAGAAAUUCUUUGUGAUGAAGCACAGGGAAAAUGGUGGAAACAGAGGAAAUGGCUGAGUGGAUUGAAUCUGGAAGUAUGCCUCUGUAGAUAAACAGCCCCAUCGUGGGCUCUUUGAGAAGAGUCAAUACAGGCUCCUUGAUGGCAUUCAAUCAGGGAAAUAACGGAUGGAAGGAAAUCAAUAUUCACUGAGUUUCUAGAGAGCUGAGGGCACACUGCUAGCUGCUGUCCUGCGUGCCCCCUCAUUUCAGCUGCAGAAUGCCCCCGUGAGGGAGGUGUUCGCUGGACAGAUGAGGAAACCAAAGCUCAGAGAGGGCGUGGCUUCCCAGGGGUCAGAUGACCAGGAAGGGGCAGAGCUGGGCCUCACACAUCAUGAUGCGUCGCCCUUUCUGAGGAAACUAGCGAGAGGCACCAUAGGAAAUACAGCUUAUCAUUUUGAUGUGCAGAAACCUAGCAUUUCCUGGAGUCUGAGUUCCUACAACACAUAGUGCCUGUCCACCUAAUGCCUUCGCUGAAGGAGUGAGAAAAGGUUUCCCUGGGGAGCGCUGGACGCUGGUGCGCUGACCAUUCCUAGCAGGUAUCCUUUCAGUUGCAGCUAUUCAGUUCCCUGCUUCACUCUUCUGGCAUUUUCCACAAGUCACAGAAUAGAUCCUCACCCGUCUCCAUUACUUAGGAAUCUUGUGGUUACAAGUGACAGAACCCAAACUCAAUCUAGCCUAGGCCUCAGCCCAAAAACCCACGUUUUAGAUAAAAAAUCCAAGGCCUGUAAAAGGCAAGAGUCCUCAGAAACAACAGGAAGUAGGGGUUCAAAUACCAUCAGCUAGUUUACCCAUGAGCAUGUGCACUUUCACUCAAGAAUUCUGUGUGUGUGUGUGUGUGUGUGUGUGUGUGUGUGUGGUUAAAACUUUACAAUGUGGUGUAGCUUCAGGCCUGACUCUUUUGAGGUCAAUUUCAAAAAAUCCUAGAGAAGAGAGUUUGUUCCAGCUUGGGAUAAUGUCUCCACCCGUGAACCAAACAACAAUGGCCCAGAGGGCCAGAUCAGAACAUAGCAGCAUUGAGGGGAGCAAGGAGAGAGGCUCAGGAAAGGCAUGUGAGACAGGCAAUCCUACUGAAGCCCGUAGAUCAUUUUGUGGGUUAGCUACCCUUACGAGCGCCCAUCCUGGUCCCGUUGGCUACAGCCGAGGAUACUUGAGUUGUACUGACUGUGUUUGACCAAGAACGACCCGUUGAGCUGGGGCUGAAGGUGAGACAGGCAUUAGACAUAUCAGAGUAGACAUAUCAGAGACGUAGUCAGAAUCCAGGAACUACAGACACUCUUAGAUGUAGCAGUCAGCCCGUCACAGCCACGUGUAAGGGCUAAGGCUCAGAAAAGCUGUGCACUGGAGCAUCAGCACACACUUGACCCUGAUUCAGGCUCCAGCUAGUAGACAGUCCUGCCACAACCAACCCAAGGGUCAUUAGGGAAAUAUUCUUAUGGGAAGAACUUUGCCACGAAAGGACCAGCAUGAGUCCUGCUCAUCAGCCAUUUUAUUUAAUGUCAGCUCAUUUUUCCAUAUCCACAGAGACCAUAUAUCACCUGCUACACUUGGCCUCCAUUUCUUUUCCCGUCACCGGGAACAGAAUCGGUGUCCAUGUUUGUCUUCCUUGCGAUGAAACCCAAAGAUGAACUCAAUUCUCAUUGCCAUCUCAUCUGAGGUUCUGAGAAUUUUCUCCUCCUUCCCUCAUUGUCAGAGAUUGCUGGCCGACCCUGGUCCGCAGACCUGCCUUGUAUGGCAGGUGGUGUUUUAAAAACUCUGAGUUACUUGCCAACACUUAGAACUUAGGGGAUUUGUACAUCAAUAUGCAAGUUUCCAGCUUCUCAUGAAAACUUGGGAGACCUGGUCACACCUGGCCUCCAGGCCUUCCUGACAACAGUCAGCCGAAGCUGAGUGAGGCCGACAUUUCUGUGGGGCCUGUGCUCUCCAGGUCACCCUCUCUUGUCUAAAACCCCCUUCACUCACUACCUGCACUCAUGCUCUGUCUGGUCUCUGUAGACCUUUGCCAACCCUUGCCUUCAGCAGAUUUUUACUUCCACUGUGUGGAACGAGGCUCAUGUAUUUAUCUUCUACCUUGCAUCACUUUCUUUUGGAACCUAACUGCUGGUAGAUCAUGAAGGGUCUGGAAUGUUUUGCUAGAGUUUGGACUUUACCCCAGACCCUUCAUGAUGUACCUCCCAACGAUGUUUCCAGGCCAUAGCCGCCACACUCCACCAUGUACACUCUGCAGGCACCGCACCCAGCCCUCCUUCAUUCCCCAGGUUAAGCAUUGUGAUCUCCCACCUCUGGCACACUUUAUGCUCCCUGUGCUUAGAAUGCCCUCUGCCUGGCUGCUCAACUCUUCUGGGCUCUAGCACAGCCCAGAUGAAAUGCAUCUCCUGUCCCCAGUCCUUCCAACCACAUGCCCACCCAGGGCCACCUGCUAACCCAGACAGUGUCUUAGUGGAAAUUGGAAAAACGUGCCCCUUCCUCAAGAUUUGUUCUUUUAUCUGCUAGAAAACUGUCCUGAUCAAUAUCUACAUUCAAAUGCUUGCAGUGUGAAUGCUUUCUACUUAAAUUUAGCAUCUUUGUGCAAUAUGUGUGUUGCACAGCUGUACUUGGCAGACUAGCUCCUGCCAGGGUAGAAGGAGAAACUCCUCUGUGCUCCCGCAGGAUUGCCUCACACCCCCACCAGAGAGUAGGAGACAUUGUAGUAUAAUGGGCUGCCCAGGCCUGUCAUCCCUGCAGACAGGUCAGGAGUCCUCAGAAGGCAGGAACCACAUCUCAAUGAUCUCAGGAUUCCCAGAACCCAUGGAAGGCAGUCCAUAAUGGGCAUUGAAUCAGUUUUUCAACUGUUGGAUUGUGAACACUUGGCAGCUGGGUGGAGUAAAUGGAAAAGAGCAAGAUCAGACAGCCCAAGGGCGUUACCAGAGGGAGGGGGUGUCAGCUCACAGGCAAAGCGGCCCAAGAACCCCUUCGAAGCAAUUGGUUCUGAAUUGUCAGGAACAAUAUUAUACUUGGAGAUCUAUAAUGCCAUUAAAAGAAAAACCAAGGAAACUGAA